UACGGGGGGGGGCAAGCGUUUGUUCGGAAUUACUGGGCGUAAAGGGCUCGUAGGCGGCCAACUAAGUCAGACGUGAAAUCCCUCGGCUUAACCGGGGAACUGCGUCUGAUACUGGAUGGCUUGAGUGUAGGAGAGGGAUGCGGAAUUCCAGGUGUAGCGGUGAAAUGCGUAGAUAUCUGGAGGAACACCGGUGGCGAAGGCGGCAUCCUGGACUACUACUGACGCUGAGUGAGCGAAAGCCAGGGGAGCAAACGGG
rnacentral:rRNA from 1 species